rnacentral:rRNA from 1 species
GAUGAACGCUGGCGGCGUGCUUAACACAUGCAAGUCGAACGGAAAGGCUCCUGCUUGCAGGGGUACUCGAGUGGCGAACGGGUGAGUAACACGUGGGUGAUCUGCCCUGCACUUCGGGAUAAGCCUGGGAAACUGGUCUAAUACCGGAUAGGACGAUGGUUUGGAUGCCAUUGUUGGAAGUUUUUCGGUGUGGGAUGAGCUCGCGGCCUUUCAGCUUGUUGGUGGGGUAAUGGCCUAACAAGGCGUCGACGGGUAGCCGGCCUGGGGGGGUGUACGGCCAAAUUGGGAAGGAGAUACGGCCCAGACUCCUACGGGAGGCAGAAGUGGGGAAUAUGGCAAAAGGGGCGAAAGCCUGAGGCAGCGACGCCGGGGGGGGGAGGAGGGCCUUCGGGUUGUAAACCCCUUUCGCAGGGGACGAAGCGAAAGUGACGGUACCUGGAGAAGAAGCACCGGAUAACUACGG